rnacentral:tRNA from 1 species
GCCGCCAGUUCAAAUGUGGGUUCCUG